rnacentral:rRNA from 1 species
UCAUAGAAUUUUUUCAAAUUCAUGAUGUCGUAAGGGAAAAUAAUGAUAAUACCUUACUAUGAGUGUCGUCCAAAUCUGGUGCCAGAAGACUCGGUAAGACCAGAGACGCAAACGUUAAUCAUCAUAAACAGGCGUAAAGGGUUUGUAGGCAGCUUUUAAAAAAUAUUUCAAAAACUAAACUAAAAGCUAGAAUCAAAAAGAGGUUAUAGUGUAUAACGCCUAGAGGAGGGCUGAUAUCCAUAGAUCCUAGGCAGAAUACUCAGGGCGAAGGCCACUCUCCACUAAUGAUUGACGCUGAGAAACGAAGGUUAGGGUAGGAAAUAGGAUUAGAUACCCCGGUACUCCUUUCUGUAAACGAUGAAUGGUAGUCAUUAGUUAAAUUAAAGUAACUAGAGGCGAAGUUAACACAAUAACCAUUCCGCCUUGUGAGUACUACUGCAAAGUAGAAAACAAAAAAAUUAGUCGGUCUCGAAGCAAACGGAGUGAAGCAUGUUAUUUA